GCCCAGGAAUUAUGGCGAGGCUCCUGGGGUGUGCCGUGGCCGUGGUCCUCAUCCUCAGUGUGGCUUUCACUGUCUUCUUUCUGUAUCACCGGCAGCAGAAGAACCGGCUGGAGAUGGAUGGGGGCGGGACUGGCCUGCCUCUCUCCCAGGAGCCAGAACCUUCUCCCAACAGGCAGAGCCACCUUGCACUUGAGGACAUCCAGGUGGGCCUGGGUCCCUAGAGUGAGGGGGCAGGGAGAGAAAAAUGGGAGAUGGACUUCAGGGAGGGGGGCCAACCUGAAGGCAGAGCCCUCCCAACUCCCCGAACCCCUGAACGAUCCUCAGCACACCACUAGCCCUGGCCAGUUCCCACAAGGCCAGGUUCAGGUAGAGACCACGGUCGGGGCCUUCCUCUCUCCCACCUUGAGAAAUAACAAGCUAGGGCUUUCCCUACCCAACACCCCUGCUUUCCAAGGGAACCUCUUUCUCCACCUCUCAGAUCGUUCAUUAAAAAAAUCCAUUGAUGCUUCAGCUGAGUCCCUUUGCUGUCCACCUGAAACUAUCACGACAUUGUUAAUUGGUUAUAUUUCAAUAUAAAAUUUACAGUUUUUGUUGUUUUGUUUUUUUUAACUGAUGCCUGGCGCAUGGCUGGCCACAGGGAGCCAGCAAAGCAAAAGGCUCAGGCUGCCCUCAUGCCUCCUGGAUGCUACNNNNNNNNNNNNNNNNNNNNNNNNNNNNNNNNNNNNNNNNNNNNNNNNNNNNNNNNNNNNNNNNNNNNNNNNNNNNNNNNNNNNNNNNNNNNNNNNNNNGCAAAGCAAAAGGCUCAGGCUGCCCUCAUGCCUCCUGGAUGCUACCAAAGUGCUGGAUGCGGGACAGGGGGUGCAUGGGGACCCAGGGGAGGAAUCUACAGCCUCUAGGGGCCAAGAGGGCUGCCCGGCACAGGGCCGCGCUAGAGUCUAUGCAGCCACUCACUCGCCUUCUCUUCCAGACUCUCGGCCUAGAGCUGGAGAAGCAGCAGCUGCAGCAGGAAGAGGAUGAACCGCAGAAGCUGCCCCCACAGCCCGCCUACUACGAUCUGGGGGCCUCCCCCUCCUACCACCCCUUGGUAAGGACCCCUGAGCCUUGAGGAUGCUGAUCCCAGGCCAGCUCCACCCAGCCCGGCCACAAGCCCAGCUGCCUGAGACAAAGGGGGACAGAGGAGGUCCCUCACAGUUACACCCCCACGGGCACCUCAGGGCAAAGCGGGUGCUGGACACUGCGGACCAGGGCAGGAGGGUGGCAUUUCCAGGGAGGACAGAGCCCCAGCCUGAUGCCCAGCUCUCCCUCCCGCAGCUCUGCCCGCCCCCCAGCUCUGUACCCUGCACCCCAGUCCCUGGACCUGCCAGUGACCACCAGAAAGCCAGCCACAGCCCCUCCUCCUGGCCCCGCUCCCAGCCGCUCCGAGGGCCAGCGUCCACUUGAAAGCCUGCCACUUCUGCCCAGAGCCCACUCCUUUCAGCAGACUUGAGGGGCCGGGGCGGUACCCGUUAUAGUGCCAGCCCACAGACCCGGGCCAGACCGCCUGGGCCCAAAGAUAACACACCCUCUCCUGGCACUGGGGGGAGAUCCAGGCCUCACCACCCUCCCUCUCGGCUGGAAGGGCCAAAGAGAAUGCGUCUCAAGAUGCCAAACCUUGCCACUAGGAGGCAGCGUUCCGAUCCCGGGUGCUCAGCUCAGCCCAGAGGACCAACCCAGCCCCCACCUUCCAAUUCCACGCAGGGGGUAAGAAGACCACCAGCCAUUUGUCAUUCCUCAGUCAAUCUAGAGGCUUCAAAGAGAGCUAAAACUCACAGUGGACACAAAGUCCGUUCCUUAGACAGUGGCUGGACAACCUCAACUCCCGUGUUCAGGCUGCACUGCCUGGCCCUGCCAGUUCCAACAAGGGGGCCUAGGGACAGUGCUGAACACGACUGUGUGCCAGGCACUUUGCUGAGACUUUUCAAACACAGCUCUGUUUUACCCUCGCAGCAAUCAGCGUGAUAAGUCUUAUCCUUGCCCUCAUUUUAUAGAUGAGGAAACUGAGGCUCAGUGAAAUAAAGGGGCUUGCCCAAGGUCAUCCAACAAGUAACAGUGGAGAGGAUCAUUCAAGCCCUUGGUCCCCUGGCUCCCAAGUCCAGGUCCUACCACGCAGCAGUCACAGUGACAGCCAGACCUAUGGGGUUUUCCUGAAGAGGUUUGAAGGAUGGCUACCAGCUCAUACAGAGCAUCUGCAGCCAUGGGCUUCCUGAAUGCUGCAGAACGCCCAGCUCUGCUGCCUGGCUGCCUGUCGGCUUCAGAGGCCUUGAGAGCUGCAGGGCAGCCCGCCCCGAGAGCUUGGCUUUAGAGUCCUGAGUCGGAUGUCACUUUGGGCCACGUAACCAGCACCGGGCAGGGUGGAAUCUCCCACCUGGAGCACGUCAUCUCGCCUGCCCCUACCUCAGGACAAAGAGGAAGCACAGGAUCUCCAGGCCCGAAAGUGGGUAAAGAAGGAAGGCGUGCGGAGAUGCCAGUGUUUCCAGAAGAGAGAAAGCCAUGCCCUGCUCAGGAUUCUCCAAAUAAGCCUUCUCCUCCCUCA
rnacentral:lncRNA from 1 species